rfam:Eucalyptus grandis cultivar BRASTZ1 unplaced genomic scaffold scaffold_9, whole genome shotgun sequence.
GGCUGGUGAUGUGAGAAGGAAGAUAUUUGCUACUCUUGAAUGGGUUUUCAUGACCCGUCUGAUGACUCCAUAUCCACCAAGAUCUCUGAGGCC